UCAGUUUAGAUAUAUUAUUAUUAUUUGUGAUUAUUUUUAAUAAAAUUAUUUUUAUUCUAAGUAUAUUAGAAAAGAUAUUUUUUAAUUUUUUAACUGUAAAGGUUAUUUUAUUUUGUUUAUAAAGUAUUUUUUGUUUGAAGUACCUUUUGCAUCAGGGUUUAUUAAAAUAAAUAAAUUAUUUUUUUUUCUCGAAGUCUUAAGAUUUAAUAAUAUAUGUUUUUCCUUGUUUCAAAAUGGUUUAUAAUAUAUUUUUAGAGGUUAUAUGCUUUUCAUUUAAGAUUAUAUCUAGUUUUUUAAUAAAUGAAUUUAAUUCAGGAAUAUGUAUAGCUUUAUUUUAAUUUUAUUAAUAAAAGUUAUUUAUUCUAAUAUUUCUGGGGAUAAUCUCAGAUUUAUUUUUAAAAGAUUUGUUUUAAAGAUUAUUUUUAGGAUCAAAAAUUUCCUUAUUUAUUUUGUUAUAAUUAUUUUUCUUUAAUUGAGAUUUAUUUUUCUUUAAUUUUUUAUUAAAAUUUUUUUAAAACUUAGUUUUUUAUUAAUAAUGAUAAAAUUAGUAAUUUUGUUAAUUUGAUAAUUGGAACUCGGCAAUUAUUAUUUUCACCUGUUUAACAAAAACAUGGUCUUUUGUAUUUUUUAUGAGAUCGGACCUGCCCAUUGAUUUAUAUUAAAAGGCUGCGGUAUUUUAACUGUACGAAGGUAGCAUAAUCAUUUGUCUUUUAAUUGAAGGCUUGUAUGAAUGGUUUGAUGAAAUAUAAGCUUUCUUUUAUCAAUUUAAUUGAAUUUAAUUUUUUAGUUAAAAAGCUAAAAUUUUUUUAUAGGACGAGAAGACCCUAUAGAAGUUUACUUAAUAUUUAAUUUUUAUUUUUUUGUUUAUAAAAUUAUCUUUUACUAUAUUUAGUUUUGUUGGGGUGACAUUAAAAUUUAUAUAACUUUUAAUUUUUAUUUCAUUGAUUUAUGUAUUUUUGAUCCAGAAUUUUUGAUUAAAAGAUUAACUUACCUUAGGGAUAACAGCGUAAUUUUUUUGGAGAGUUCAUAUCGAUAAAAAAGUUUGCGACCUCGAUGUUGAAUUAAGAUUAGAAAUGGGUGUAAAAUUUCAUUUUCCUUGGUCUGUUCGACCAUUAAAUUCUUACAUGAUUUGAGUUCAGACCGGUGUGAGCCAGGUCGGUUUCUAUCCUUAUUUUUUGUAGAUUAGUACGAAAGGACCAUUUACAAUAAUUAAAUUAUUAAUUUUGAUUAAAAUUA
rnacentral:rRNA from 1 species